rnacentral:rRNA from 1 species
AUUGAACGCUGGCGGAAUGCUUUACACAUGCAAGUCGAGCGGCAGCGCGGGGCAACCUGGCGGCGAGCGGCGAACGGGUGAGUAAUACAUCGGAACGUACCCUGUCGUGGGGGAUAACGAGUCGAAAGAUUCGCUAAUACCGCAUACGACCUGAGGGUGAAAGCGGGGGAUCGCAAGACCUCGCGCGAUAGGAGCGGCCGAUGGCGGAUUAGCUAGUUGGUGAGGUAAAGGCUCACCAAGGCGACGAUCCGUAGCGGGUCUGAGAGGACGACCCGCCACACUGGAACUGAGACACGGUCCAGACUCCUACGGGAGGCAGCAGUGGGGAAUUUUGGACAAUGGGGGCAACCCUGAUCCAGCCAUUCCGCGUGAGUGAAGAAGGCCUUCGGGUUGUAAAGCUCUUUCGGCAGGAACGAAACGGUCCUUUCUAAUACAGAGGGCUAAUGACGGUACCUGAAGAAGAAGCACCGGCUAACUACGUGCCAGCCGCCGCAGUAA